rnacentral:rRNA from 1 species
AUACGUAGGGGGCAAGCGUUAUCCGGAUUUAUUGGGUUUAAAGGGUGCGUAGGCGGACGAUUAAGUCAGCUGUGAAAUGCCCGCGCUUAACGCGGGAAGUGCAGUUGGUACUGGUUGUCUGGAGUGCCGUUGCCGUGGGGGGAAUGUGUAGUGUAGCGGUGAAAUGCAUAGAUAUUACACAGAACGCCGAUUGUGAAGACACCUCACGAAGCGGUAACUGACGCUGAGGCACGAAAGCGUGGGGGUCGAACAGGAUUAGAUACCCUGGUAGUCCGCACAGUAAACGAUGAAUACUUGUUUUCGGCGAUAUAAUGUCGGAGGCAAGGCGAAAGCGAUAAGUAUUCCACCUGGGGAGUACGCCGGCAACGGUGAAACUCAAAUGAAUUGACGGGG